rnacentral:rRNA from 1 species
CAGCCGCCACGGGAAUACGGAGGGAGCUAGCGUUGUUCGGAAUUACUGGGCGUAAAGCGCGCGUAGGCGGUUACUCAAGUCAGAGGUGAAAGCCCGGGGCUCAACCCCGGAACUGCCUUUGAAACUAGGUGACUAGAAUCUUGGAGAGGCCAGUGGAAUUCCGAGUGUAGAGGUGAAAUUCGUAGAUAUUCGGAAGAACACCAGUGGCGAAGGCGACUGACUGGACAAGUAUUGACGCUGAGGUGCGAAAGCGUGGGGAGCAAACAGGAUUAGAUACCCGCGUAGUCCCUGUCUCUUAUAC